rnacentral:rRNA from 1 species
UACGAAGGGGGCUAGCGUUGCUCGGAUUGACUGGGCGUAAAGGGCGCGUAGGCGGUCUGUUAAGUGCACGAGUGAAAUCCCUGGGCUCACCUCAGGAACCGCUCUGCAUACUGGCAGACUUGAGGGUCGGAGAGGUAUGUGGAAUUCCUGGUGUAGCGGUGAAAUGCGUUGAUAUCAGGAGGAACACCGGUGGCGAAGGCGGGUCUCUGGGCAGUAACUGACGCUGAGGAGCGAAAGCGUGGGGAGCGAACAGG